rnacentral:rRNA from 1 species
UAAACGACUCUCGGCAACGGAUAUCUUGGCUCACGCAUCGAUGAAGAACGUAGCAAAAUGCGAUACUUGGUGUGAAUUGCAGAAUCCCGUGAACCAUCGAGUUUUUGAACGCAAGUUGCGCCCGAAGCCUUUUGGUCGAGGGCACGUCUGCCUGGGCGUCACAC